rfam:Stegodyphus mimosarum contig52188, whole genome shotgun sequence.
AAAAAGGCCCUUUCAGGGCUACAAAUUAAAAAUAUAAAGGUCUUU